rnacentral:rRNA from 1 species
UACGGAGGGUGCAAGCGUUGUCCGGAAUCACUGGGCGUAAAGGGCGCGUAGGCGGCUCAUGAAGGCUGUGGUGAAAGUCCGGGGCCCAACCUCGGAUCGGCCGUGGCGACUCGUGGGCUGGAGCACUGUAGAGGCGGGUGGAAUUCCGGGUGUAGCGGUGGAAUGCGUAGAGAUCCGGAAGAACACCAGUGGCGAAGGCGGCCCGCUGGGCAGUGGCUGACGCUGAGGCGCGACAGCGUGGGGAGCAAACAGG